rnacentral:rRNA from 1 species
AUUGAACGCUGGCGGCAUGCCUUACACAUGCAAGUCGAACGGCAGCACGGACUUUGGUCUGGUGGCGAGUGGCGAACGGGUGAGUAAUGUAUCGGAACGUACCAUUGAGUGGGGGAUAACGUAGCGAAAGUUACGCUAAUACCGCAUAUUCUCCCCGGAGGAAAGCAGGGGACCGCAAGGCGUUGCGCGCUUUGAGCGGCCGAUAUCAGAUUAGCUAGUUGGUGGGGUAAAAGCUCACAAAGGCGACGAUCUGUAGCGGGUCUGAGAGGAUGAUCCGCCACACUGGAACUGAGACACGGUCCAGACUCCUACGGGAGGCAGCAGUGGGGAAUUUUGGACAAUGGGGGCAACCCUGAUCCAGCCAUGCCGCGUGAGUGAAGAAGGCCUUCGGGUUGUAAAGCUCUUUCGGCCGGGAAAAAUCGCAUGGGCUAAUAUCCUGUGUGGAUGAUGGUACCGGAAUAAGAAGCACCGGCUAACUACGUGCCAGCCGCCGCCGUAA